GCCCGCGUCGUAACGAUUGAGGUAUGCGGUGAAUUGGCUGGAAUGGUAUUCGGCAUGAGAGCUAGGAUCGCCGAAAGUGGCCUUUGAAUCGAUCCAAUGUACUUGACGUCCAUGGACGAGCAACGGUACAGGAAGAAGCACAUCCGGCGUCUUGGCCUCUCCGCGUGAACGAAGAGUCUCCUCGGUGUGAAAAGGGAUGCCGUGCGU
rnacentral:rRNA from 14 species